UAAGAUGUUUUUGUUUUGCAAAAAAAAAAAAAAAUCCAAUUUUCAAGUAUAAUAUUAUAUGUAUAUGUGGGUGGGUGUAAAAGGUGCUUUUAAAUGUGUUCUGACUGACCUACGUUAUUAGGAUUUAUUCUUAGCUUCUUACAAAUAAAUUACUUCUUACAAAGUAAUACAGGUAUUUAAUCUUUGACAGGUUCAAAGGAAAUACAACUUUACUAGACUUGAGAAUCGACUAGAGAGAAUAGCAAAAAAGGUUUUAUCGCUACAACAACAACAAUCGCGUCUCUUUUCCAAGAACUCCCCACCGGCUCUCGACGACAGCCCUAACAAUUCUCUCUAUGGGUCAGCUUGGGAUCGGAUAAAUUCCCUGAGUGAACAAAUAUCCAUCCUGGAAGAAAGACUGGGGAGAUGUACCUGCAGUCAGUAACGACAAGCACCACCUACUGGUCUCCAACGUUACAAUUCUAAUUUUAAGAUUUCUGUUGCUGUUCUUCUCGAGAUGAAGCUCCGCUACUAGAAAAAAAAGAAAGAAAACACUUUUAACAGAUUUUCGAUGUAUUUUUAAAGGAUUCUUAUCAAAGUUUUCUUCAGUGUUACUUUCCACACAUAAUCCUAUUCUAGAUAAACGUCACUCAAAAUUUUUAGGGGGUUCUGCUCUGUAAUACACUUGGCCCCCCACCCACCCCACAAAAAACCGUGACAUAUAUACAUACAGCCAAUUACCGUAACGAAAGGGUUAACUUUUUAAAAAAAAACGAAACAUUUUUCUGAAGCUACUCACUGAGGAGCGAAUAGUUUGUGGCUCCCAAUUUUAACUUUUACGUCGGUGGCCGAAGUCUUUCCAUAUGUUUAUUUUACGUUUAUUUGUUUUUCUUAAAAUUCACGCAAAGCUACUCGAGGGCUAUCAGCGCUAGCCGUCCCUAAUUGUGCAGUGAUAGAGUAGAGGGAAAGCAGGUAGUCAACACCACUCAACGCCAAAUGUUAAGCAACUCUUUUACCAACUGUCAGUGGGAUUGAGCAUAACGUAUUAACGGCCCCACGGCUGAAAGGGUGAGCAUGUUCGGUGUCGGGGAUUCAAACCCACGACCCACAGAUUGCAAGUUGACUGCCCUAAACACCAUGUCAUGCCAGGCCUGGAAGUUUUUAGAACUUGCAACUAGUUCUUCAUCAACCGAACAUUCUAGAUAAAAUAAGUCAAAUACUUGUACAGAAUACCAGGAAGUUUACUUUUACAAAUAGGAUUAAUUGAAUUGCUUGUUGUCUGUGCUAACUUCUUAAAAAAUCGAAUGACGGAAGAAAUCGAAAGUUUAGUUAUUGUCUGAAUCUUUCAGGCGGAGGUAUUUUAAUGUUUCGCUAAAUUUCUGGACUUUUUAGGCUUUCAAGUUCAAGUUAUAACAUGAUUAAUUGACAACUCUUCUUCAUGGACUGCUUACCGUAUUAUUAUUUGUU